rnacentral:lncRNA from 1 species
UGUCCCUGUCCUUGUCCCUGUCCCGCCCUGUCCCUGUCCCUGCCCCUGCUCUGUCCCUGUCCCUGUUCCUCUGUCCCUGCCCCUGUCCCUGUCCCUGCCCCAGUCCCUGUCCCUGUCCCUGUCCCGCCUCCCUGUCCCUGUCCCCUGCCCUCUGCUUGUCCCUGUCCCUGUCCCUGUCCCUGCCCCUGCCCCUGUCCCUGCCCAGUCCCUGUCCCUGUCCCUGUCCGCCCCUGUCCCUGUCCCUGCCCCUGUCCCGUCCCUGUCCCUGUCCCUGUCCUGUCCCUGUCCUGUCCCGAGCGGGCUGUGCAGGAUGUUAAGAGCUCUUCCCACGCCCCAGCUCAGAGCCCUUUGCCUCUCCCAGUUCCCUCCAGAACAUUUUCCCCGGGUGUCCCAGUCCCCAGGACCCUCCGGUGCAGAGCAAGGUGGAGCCGCCCAGCCUGGACCCUGCGGAGAGCCGCUGCUCUGGGAAGGGCUCACCCUCAACAAGUGCAUCCUGGUGGCCUCCGUGGUGGCCCUGCUCAGCGUCACCUUCCAGGUGCUCCAAGCUCCAUGCUCCAAGGAGGGACUCGCCCGCGGCCGGCAGGAACCUCCGCUCCGCCGCCCCCGUUCCCGGUGGGUCCGACCCUCCCGAUCCUGAGACACGGAACAUCCCAGGCUGGGGUGGCCUGGGAGCCCCCGGCUGGGAUAUCCCACAGCUGACAGUUGUCCUUGUCCCUGUCCCUCCCAGAGGCCGUGAGCCCCAAGGCGGAGAUCCCAGAGGCGGUGACCGCCAGCCUGAGCCGCCACCGGAGAGCAGCGCGGUGGAGGAUAUGGUGAUGAUGACGGUGACGAUUACGAUGACAGCGAAGCUGACAGCAACCUGGUACGCAGGGUGGUGGCACCUCCCGGGGCAGGGAGCAUUGUCCCCAGGGCAGGAGAGGGGUCCCGGUCCCUGGGCUGCGCUCAGCUCCCGGUCCCCUCUGUCCCACAGGCAGAACCCUGGAUCUCAAGAAGUGGUUUGGCCGCGCAACACCAGAGUGAGGACAAGGUGGGGAAGGAUGAGGAGAAGAGAUGAGGAUGAGGAUGAAGAACCUGCAGAUGUCCUCGAGGUGCCAGUGACUGUGAUGGAGGGGAAGAAGAGCCAGGAGAAGAAAGUAGAGAAGGAGGAGGAGAAGGAAGAGGAAGAAAGAGGAGAAGGAGAAGAAAAAGAGAAUGAGAGGGAGGAGAAUGAGAAAGGAUGAGGGGAGGAGGAGAAUGAGAAGGAUGAGGAGGAGGAGGAGGAGAAGGAGGAGAAGAAGAAGGAGGGAAGAAGGAGAAAGC